UACGUAGGGUGCGAGCGUUAAUCGGAAUUACUGGGCGUAAAGUGUGCGCAGGCGGCCGAGCAAGUCGAGUGUGAAAGCCCCGAGCUUAACUUGGGAACUGCGCUCGAAACUACUUGGCUAGAGUGUGGCAGAGGGAGGUGGAAUUCCAGGUGUAGCGGUGAAAUGCGUAGAUAUCUGGAGGAACACCGGUGGCGAAGGCGACAUCCUGGACCGGUAUUGACGCUGAGGCGCGAAAGCCAGGGGAGCAAACGGG
rnacentral:rRNA from 1 species